rnacentral:rRNA from 1 species
CGAAAGCCUGACGGAGCAAGACCGCGUGAGGGAGGAAGGCUCUUGGGUUGUAAACCUCUUUUCUCAGGGAAGAAGCUCUGACGGUACCUGAGGAAUCAGCAUCGGCUAACUCCGUGCCAGCAGCCGCGGUAAUACGGAGGAGGCAAGCGUUAUCCGGAAUGAUUGGGCGUAAAGCGUCCGUAGGUGGUCUAUCAAGUCGGCGGUAAAAGACCGAAGCUUAACUUCGGAGUGGCCGUGGAAACUGAGAGACUAGAGAGCGACAGGGGCAGAGGGAAUUCCCAGUGUAGCGGUGAAAUGCGUAGAGAUUGGGAAGAACACCAGUGGCGAAAGCGCUCUGCUGGGUCGCAACUGACACUGAGGGACGAAAGCUAGGGGAGCG